rnacentral:rRNA from 1 species
UACGGGGGGAGCAAGCGUUGUUCGGAUUUACUGGGCGUAAAGGGCGCGUAGGCGGUCAGCACAAGUCAGUUGUGAAAUCUCCGAGCUUAACUCGGAAAGGUCAACUGAUACUGUGCGACUAGAGUGCGGAAGGGGCAACUGGAAUUCUUGGUGUAGCGGUGAAAUGCGUAGAUAUCAAGAGGAACACCUGCGGCGAAGGCGGGUUGCUGGGCCGACACUGACGCUGAGGCGCGAAGGCUAGGGGAGCGAACGGG